rnacentral:misc_RNA from 1 species
GAUGAAGAACGCAGCGAAAUGCGAUAAGUAGUGUGAAUUGCAGAAUUCAGUGAAUCAUCGAAUCUUUGAACGCACAUUGCGCCCCUUGGUAUUCCAUGGGGCAUGCCUGUUCGAGCGUCAUCUACACCCUCAAGCUCUGCUUGGUGUUGGGCGUCUGUCCCGCCUUUGCGCGUGGACUCGCCCCAAAUUCAUUGGCAGCGGUCCUUGCCUCCUCUCGCGCAGCACAUUUGCGCUUCUCGAGGUGCGCGGGCCGCGUCCACGAAGCAACUAUUACCGUCUUUGACCUCGGAUCAGGUAGGGAUACCCGCUGAACUUAAGCAUAACAAUAAGCGGAGGA